AACGAACGCUGGCGGCAUGCCUAACACAUGCAAGUCGAACGAGAUCUUCGGGUCUAGUGGCGCACGGGUGCGUAACGCGAGGGAAUCUGCCCUGUGGUUCGGAAUAACGUUUGGAAACGACUGCUACUACCGGAUGAUGACGAAAGUCCAAAGAUUUAUCGCCAGAGGAUGAGCCCGCAUAGGAUUAGCUAGUUGGUGUGGUAAAGGCGCACCAAGGCGACGAUCCUUAGCUGGUCUGAGAGGAUGAUCAGCCACACUGGGACUGAGACACGGCCCAGACUCCUACGGGAGGCAGCAGUAGGGAAUAUUGGACAAUGGGCGAAAGCCUGAUCCAGCAAUGCCGCGUGAGUGAUGAAGGCCUUAGGGUUGUAAAGCUCUUUUACCCGGGAUGAUAAUGACAGUACCGGGAGAAUAAGCUCCGGCUAACUCCGUGCCAGCCGCCGCGGUAA
rnacentral:rRNA from 1 species